UACGGGGGGAGCAAGCGUUGUUCGGAUUUACUGGGCGUAAAGGGCGCGUAGGCGGUCAGCACAAGUCAGUUGUGAAAUCUCCGGGCUUAACUCGGAAAGGUCAACUGAUACUGUGCGACUAGAGUGCAGAAGGGGCAACUGAAUUCUCGGUGUAGCGGUGAAAUGCGUAGAUAUCAUUUGGAACGCCAAUGGUGAAAACAGGUAGCUGGGAGUGUGCUGACGCUGAGACACGAAAGCCAGGGGAGCGAACGGG
rnacentral:rRNA from 1 species